CAACAGCAGCAGGGCCAACCUUCACCAGAAAAUGAAAAAAAAGAAAAAGAAAAACGCCCACCCCGAGUGCUUCAUGGGAAAUGUAGUCGACAAGGGGGAACUGUUUUCCGCAGGAGCUAUGGGAAACAUCUUGGAGUUCAUAAGGAUUUUGGGCACAGAGCGCAGUGGUUCCUCUUCUUUGGGUACAAUACGAAUGUAGAAGACAGCAGGGAAGAUGAAGAUGAGACAAGGGGCAGACGUGGCACCUGGAAAACAGACAAAAAAAAAACAUGAAUUAUUCACGAUAUGAACUCUCCUAUAAAUUCUCACUCCCUUCACUUCUAAUUAAGAGUUGUGGCUCGUCUGACAGUACUGUAGUGAUGAUGUGGGAAAAAAGGAUUUAGCUCAUAUUUAUUAUGUUCCACUGCCAGAAAUGAAAAUUGUUGAUAUGAGGCUUUUGAAUUUAAUGUUUCAAGUGUGAAUGAGCCUGUUGGACUUCAUCUGUAAAAAUACUGCUCAUUACCCCACACCAAAGUCUCAGAGUUAGUGAAGAAAAAUCUCUUUCCAAAUAUUUAAUUGCUGCUCUCAAAAUCUUAAUUGCCACAUAUUCUGGGCUAGAAAAUGUUACCUCUCAAAAGAAAGUUUGAUGGUGGCUUGAUAGCUCAAACUGUUUACAGUACAAUAAUACAUAAUUCUCCUUUUCUCCAACUGCAAGUGGGCUCUCAUGUAAAAGAAUUUAAAAUACAUGUAAAAUACAGUAUAAACAUAUCAA